UCCUGCCUCAGCCUCUGGAGUAGCUGGGAUUACAGGCACAUGCCACCACACCCAGCUAAUUUUUUUACUUUUUGCAGAGACAGGGUUUCGCCAUGUUGGCCAGGCUGGUCCCCAACUCCUGACCUCAUGUGAUCCACCCGCCUCGGCUUCCCAAAGUGCUGGGAUUACAGGCGUGAGCCAUCGCACCUGGCCUGAGUUUGCAUUUCUAGGUUCCCAGAUGAUGUGACAGCUACUGGUCUCCAGCCACACCUUGAGAACACUUGGCUUUGACUACCACUUCUUAAACUUAAAGGGUCUUCUCUGUCGCCCAGGCUGGAGUGCAGUGCUGCAGUCGUGGCUCACUGUAGCGUCAGUCUCCUGAGCUCAGGAAAACUAGACAAUCCACCAGCCCAGGAGGGGACAAGCAGGCUUAUUCCUCCUCCUCGUCAUCUCUGGCUCCAGCCCCACCCUGGCCCUUGCUGGCAUUCUUCCUCUUCACGUGGCUGGGGUUGGCCACCCCAAUAGGGAAGCAGAGGGAGAAGUCAAUGUGCUUCUGGGAAUCCAGGCGGACAGUGAAGAACAGGAUAUUUACCACCUGCUCACGGACACGGAUAUGACACUGUUGAAUCAGCACAUGAGCGUGGCGGAUGGACUUAGCCAAGCCAAGCUUGAAGACCUGGGUC
rnacentral:lncRNA from 10 species